rnacentral:lncRNA from 1 species
UGGCCAUUCAAGGGCUCAGUAACCCAGAAGUUUCUCAGGAUUGUGGACAAUGAAGGGGCCCUGGCCUCCAGCUCAGAGGUCCUGGGCUGUCAGCCCAGUGGAGUCCACUGCUGGCAGAAUAGCUAUGAUACAUUCUCGUGCUUCUGUUUUUCCACCCAUCUAUCUGUCCACCCCUAUAUCCAUACAUUUUCCAUCUGUCCACACAUCCAUCCACCCAUCCAUCCAACCCACUCAUCUAUCCAUCCAUACAUCUAUCUAUCUAUCUAUCUAUCUAUCUAUCUAUCUAUCUAUCUAUCCAUCCAUCCACUUUUACAUCCAUCCAUCCAUCCAUCCAUCCAUCCAUCCAUCCAUCCAUCCAUCCACACAUCCAUCCAUCUAUCCAUCUAUCCGUUCACUUUUACAUCCAUCCAUCCAUCCAUCCAUCCAUCCAUCCAUCCAUACAUCUACCCACACAUCCAUCCAUCCAUCCAUCCAUCCACAAUGCUUCCAUUCAUUUUCCAUCUGUCCACACAUCAUCCAUCCAUUCAUCCUCAUACAUGCAUACCUAUCCCUACAUCCAUCCACCCACACAAACACACAUUUAGUGGGACCCAGCCAUCCACCUGUCCACUUCCUUUCUACCAUUUGUCCAUCUGCCCAUCACUCAUCCACCCUCUCACCUAUCAAGGCUCCCCUUUAGAACAUUGUAUCCAAAGUCAAUGAGAUGAAAAUGAAGUGCUAGACAGAGUAUGCCUAGGGAAGGAGGCUCUUGUCUCUUGGGAGUUGUGGUGGCUUGGAUGAGAAUGGACCCCAGAGGCUCAUUAUCUUUGCACACUUAGUCCUCAGUUGAUGGAUUGUUUGGGAAGAAUUAAGAGGUGUGUCCUUG